ACGCGAAAGCCUCCUUCGGGGGGCAAGUAGAGUGGCGCACGGGUGAGUAACACGUAGGUAAUCUACCUUUGGAUUGGGAAUAACCACCGGAAACGGUGGCUAAUACCGAAUAAUGCAGCGGCACCUAAUGGUGACAGUUGUUAAAGCGGGGGAUCGCAAGACCUCGCGUCUAAAGAGGAGCCUGCGGCGGAUUAGCUAGUUGGUAAGGUAACGGCUUACCAAGGCGAUGAUCCGUAGCCGGCCUGAGAGGGCGGUCGGCCACACUGACACUGACAUACGGGUCAGACUCCUACGGGAGGCAGCAGUCGGGAAUUUUGGGCAAUGGGCGAAAGCCUGACCCAGCAACGCCGCGUGAAGGAUGAAAUCCCUCGGGAUGUAAACUUCGCAAGAACGGGAAGAAUAAGUAAGAGUUAAUAUCUCUUACGAUGACGGUACUGUUUGUAAGCUCCGGCUAACUCCGUGCCAGCAGCCGCGGUAAUACGGGGGGAGCAAGCGUUG
rnacentral:rRNA from 1 species